GACGAACGCUGGCGGCGUGCUUAACACAUGCAAGUCGAACGGAAAGGCCCUGCUUUUGUGGGGUGCUCGAGUGGCGAACGGGUGAGUAACACGUGAGUAACCUGCCCUUGACUUUGGGAUAACUUCAGGAAAUUGGGGCUAAUACCGGAUAGGAGCUCCUGCUGCAUGGUGGGGGUUGGAGAGUUUCGGCGGUUGGGGAUGGACUCACGGCUUAUCAGCUUGUUGGUGGGGUAGUGGCUUACCAAGGCUUUGACGGGUAGCCGGCCUGAGAGGGUGACCGGCCACAUUGGGACUGAGAUACGGCCCAGACUCCUACGGGAGGCAGCAGUGGGGAAUAUUGCACAAUGGGCGGAAGCCUGAUGCAGCAACGCCGCGUGCGGGAUGACGGCCUUCGGGUUGUAAACCGCUUUCGCCUGUGACGAAGCGUGAGUGACGGUAAUGGGUAAAGAAGCACCGGCUAACUACGUG
rnacentral:rRNA from 1 species